rnacentral:rRNA from 1 species
AGAUUGAACGCUGGCGGCAGGCCUAACACAUGCAAGUCGAGCGGUAGAGAGGUGCUUGCACCUCUUGAGAGCGGCGGACGGGUGAGUAAAGCCUGGGAAUCUGCCUGGUAGUGGGGGAUAACGCUCGGAAACGGACGCUAAUACCGCAUACGUCCUACGGGAGAAAGCAGGGGACCUUCGGGCCUUGCGCUAUCAGAUGAGCCUAGGUCGGAUUAGCUAGUUGGUGAGGUAAUGGCUCACCAAGGCGACGAUCCGUAACUGGUCUGAGAGGAUGAUCAGUCACACUGGAACUGAGACACGGUCCAGACUCCUACGGGAGGCAGCAGUGGGGAAUAUUGGACAAUGGGCGAAAGCCUGAUCCAGCCAUGCCGCGUGUGUGAAGAGUCUUCGGAUUGAAAGCACUUUAAGUGGAGGAAGGCAGUUACUAAUACGUAUCUGUUUGACGUUACCGACAAGAAUAAGACACCGGUCUAACGUUCUGU